rnacentral:rRNA from 1 species
ACGAGGAUCUAUUGGAGGGCAAGUCUGGUGCCAGCAGCCGCGGUAAUUCCAGCUCCAAUAGCGUAUAUUAAAGUUGUUGCGGUUAAAAAGCUCGUAGUUGGAUCUCGGUUUCACUCAGGUGGUACACCUUGCGGUGUUCACUAUCUGGGUGGACGUUUCUGUUGGUUCGCUCUUGGUGCUCUUCAUCGGGUGCCAUUUGGUGGCCAGCACGUUUACUUUGAAAAAAUUGGAGUGCUCAAAGCAGGCGUUACAGCCUGAACAUUAGUGCAUGGAAUAAUGGAAUAGGAUCUCGAUUCUAUUUCGUUGGCUUUCGGAGUCGAGGUAAUGAUUAAUAGGGACAGACGGGGGCAUUCGUACUGCGACGUUAGAGGUGAAAUUCUUGGAUCGUCGCAAGACGAACUACUGCGAAAGCAUUUGCCAAGAAUGUUUUCAUUAAUCAAGAACGAAAGUUAGAGGUUCGAAGGCGAUCAGAUACCGCCCUAGUUCUAACCAUAAACGAUGCCAACCGGCGAUCCGUCGUCGUUAAUUGAAUGACUCGACGGGCAGCCUCCGGGAAACCAGAGUGUUUGGGUUCCGGGGGAAGUAUGGUUGCAAAGCUGAAACUUAAAGGAAUUGACGGAAGGGCACCACCAGGAGUGGAGCCUGCGGCUUAAUUUGACCCAACACGGGAAAUCUCACCAGGCCCGGACACCGGAAGGAUUGACAGAUUGAGAGCUCUUUCUUGAUUCGGUGGGUGGUGGUGCAUGGCCGUUCUUAGUUGGUGGAGCGAUUUGUCUGGUUAAUUCCGAUAACGAACGAGACUCUGGCCUACUAACUAGAAGGUCUAUCCUUUAUGGGUAGGCCUCUGCUUCUUAGAGGGACGGGCGGCGUUUAGCCGCACGAGAAUGAGCAAUAACAGGUCUGUGAUGCCCUUAGAUGUUCUGGGCUGCACGCGCGCUACACUGAAGGAAUCAGCAUGUUCUCCCCUCCCUGAAAAGGGCGGGUAACCCGUUGAAACUCCUUCGUGAUGGGGAUUGGAGAUUGUAAUUAUUCUCCAUGAACGAGGAAUUCCCAGUAGGCGCGAGUCAUCAGCUUGCGUCGAUUACGUCCCUGCCCUUUGUACACACCGCCCGUCGCUACUACCGAUCGAGUGAUUUAGUGAGGACUUCGGACUGGUCUUCAAGUUGGCUUCGGUCGGCUCGAAGUUCCGGAAAGAUGCCCAAACUUGAUCACUUAGA